rnacentral:lncRNA from 1 species
GCUGGCCCGGGUGCUAAGCCCCUCAUUGCCCGGGGCCGGCAGGGCCGGCCGGCUGCUCGGAGUGCAGGGCCCAACAAGGCCACGCCCACCCGGAACUCCAGCUGGCCUGCAAGCGCCGCCCGCAGCCGCGGUUCCCGCCGGCGCCUCUCCCUCCACACCUCCCUGCAAGCUGAGGGAGUGGGCUCCGGCCUUGGCCAGCCCAGAAAGGGGCCCCCACAGUGCAGCGGUGGGCUGAAGGGCUCCCCAGGUGCAUCCAAAGUGGGAGCCCAGGCAGAGGAGGCGCCGAGAGCGAGAGAGGGCUGUGAGGACUGCCAGCACGCUGUCACCUCUCAGAACCAGGGGAGAAACCUGAGAAGUGUCUUUCAGCACACUACCUGGAUCCUAAUGGCUACUUCUGCAGAGAGAACACCAGAGGGGAAAGGAAUCUAUCAGAAGGCAAGAUGUUAAUGUAUCAAGGAAAGAUAACGAACUAAGAGAAAACUGGGAAGGAAUAUGCAGAGAGAAGCAAAAUGCCACACUAACAGAAGGUAUUCUCAGUUAAGGGGCCAAUUUUGUUUCUAUUUAUUGUUUAAGUUCUCCAUACUUAAAAAAUUUAAAUAAUAAAUUGUUGUCAUAAGACAGUUAUUACACCAAGAAGUACCUUACAAUUAAGCUCAAGACCUACAGGAAGCUAUUAAAAUUAAUGGAGGAGCCAAAUGUGGAGCAGAACAUCUCUGGACAUCAAGUUGACCGGCCAAAAUUUCCUGGAACAGGAAUCUUAGGAGAAGAAGAAAGAAAAGGGGUUUGUCUUGCUAUAUCUGGAGUGGCAGAGUGAAAGAAAAUAUGUAUGUAAGUGGACCCACGCAGCUCUAACCUAUGUUGUCCAAGAGUCACCUGCACAUGGUAGAAAACUUAUCAAGAGGAGGUGGAGCAAGAUGGCAAAAUAGAAGCCUCCACUGAUCAUCCCCUCACAAAGACACCAAUUUAACAACUAUCUACACAUAAAAGCACUUUCAUAAGAACCAAAAAUUACGUGAGCAUUCACAGUACCUGGUUUUAACUUCAUGUCACUGAAAGAGACACUGAGGAGGUAGAAAAAAGUCUUGAAUUGCUACCACCCCUCUAUCCCCCCGCAGUGGCAGCUUGGUGCAGAGAGAGAAUCUGAGCUACUUGGGAGAGGAAGAGCACAGCAAUUGUGAGACAGUGCAUUGAACUCAGUCCUGCUCUGUUAUAGAAGAAAGCAAAGCCGGAAAAACUCAGCCAAUGCCAGCAGACAGAGGGAGCAUUUAGCCCAGUACUAAACAGAGAAGACUCACUCAUCCCAGCAGUUGGAACCUAGGUUCCUGCAUGCUUCGCUACCACAGGCUAAAGUGCUCUGGGGAUCUCAAUAAGUUCGAAAUGCAGUCUAGGCCACAAGGACUGCAACUCCAAGGUUGCAGGAGUGCUGAACAGGGCUCAGAGCCUGGGGACUUCGGGGACUUGCAGCCUACUGAGACACCAGGUGGGGUAGCUAAGGGAGUGCUGGUGCCACACCUCCCCUAACUCCACGUUCCACAGCUCAUGACUCCAAAAAGGACCCCUUCCUUCUGCUUGAGAAGAAGAGAGGAAAUAGAGGGAAAACCUUUGACUUGUAUCACAAAUACUAGCUCAGUCACAUCAGGAAAGGGCACCGGUCAGUCAUGAAAGCCUCUGUCUUCUCAGUGAGAAGAGGAGUGAGUUUGAAUAGAAUGGGAAGCAAUUUUGCCUUAAGCAGUACCCAGCUUGACUUUCCCCUUUAGCUUAGUGAUUUUGGGGCUCCAAGAUUUAUUUUCCUUUCACAGUGUGUAUGAUCAGAGCAUGAACAGAUUAUUCACAAAAAACAAAUCAAAUAUACAUGUAAAAGAUGUUUCUUCAUGAUUAAUCAUAAAAAAAUAAUUUAAC